rnacentral:rRNA from 1 species
GGGAAAGGUGAAAAGAACCCCGGGAGGGGAGUGAAAUAGAACAUGAAAUCGUGAGUUUACAAGCAGUAGGAGAGCGACUUAACGCUCAACUUCGUGCCUGUUGAAGAAUGAGCUGGCGACUUGUAGGUUGUGGCAAGGUUAAGAUAAGAGAAUAUCGGAGCCAUAGUGAAAGCGAGCCUGAAUAGGGCGUUUGUCACUAGUUAUGGCCCCGAACCCGGGUGAUCUAACCAUGGUCAGGUUGA